UACGUAGGGUGCAAGCGUUGUCCGGAAUUAUUGGGCGUAAAGGGCGCGUAGGCGGUUCGUACAGUCAGACGUGAAAUUCCUGGGCUCAACCUGGGGGCUGCGUUUGAUACGUGCGGACUUGAGUGCGGAAGAGGGUCGUGGAAUUCCCAGUGUAGAGGUGAAAUUCGUAGAUAUUGGGAAGAACACCGGUGGCGAAGGCGGCGACCUGGUCCGAUACUGACGCUGAGGCGCGAAAGCGUGGGGAGCGAACAGG
rnacentral:rRNA from 1 species